GCGGCAGGCGCGCCUGGCCGACCUCGGCGUGCUGCGCGCGCUCAAGCUGCUGCGAGCACGCCAGGACGCCGCGCACCUGCACGACAAGGUAAAAACCGCCUUAGCGCAGUUCAACGAGUUCCCAUAAUAACGCGGGCCCGCCGGCGCUGUCGGCUGCGGCGGAAGUGACUCGGCGAAGUGUUGCCAGGCGGUAGUGUUGCCAGGCGGUAGUGUUGCCAGGGCGAAUAUUUGUUAAGUGACAGGUAAACAUUGUGAUUAGUUUAUUAUUAUUUUGUUUUUGAAAUUAUUCACUUUUUUUUGUGUCGUGUAUAGUCUGGUCUGCGAGCACGUAGAAUUUUGUCCAAUGACCUCAAGCUACCCAUCCUUAUCGCUCAAGCGUAAUUAUAUUGCUGUCGCGAGACUGUGCGACGGGCGCUUGCAGUGAGUGUGCGAGCGCAAUAGCAACAUAAUUACGCGCGAGCGAUAAGGAUGGGUUGCUUGGGGUCAUUGGACAAAAUUCUAGUGCUCACAGACCGGACUUUACAGAUUAUAUCUUGAAGUUCUUUAUUUUGCACUAACGCCCGUAUUUACAAACUAUGCAUGCUUAAGUGAAGCAGAAACGCUAUGCGUAGUCGAAUAGAGCUCUGUGAUUGGUUCGUGUGUGUCACUUCGCCACUCAAGUAUUGUCAAUGAUGAUGUUUUUGCGACCCUGUGCGUCUACGCGCACUGUGAGACCCCAUAGUUAUGUUUGUGAAUACGGGUGUAAAUGUCACAAAAUACAUUAAAAUUCAUGCUUUUAUAAAUCAAAGUACAAUUUGAGCAAUAUCUGUUAGAAGUUUAGUUGUUUAGACGCUCAUAAUGUGUCCAUACCUUCGUCACUUUGGUUUUUUUAAAUAAAUCAUGUCGUACCAGGACAUGUCCUUUAAGUUAUCUGUGUUUCUUAGUCAUUAGUUUAUUGAGACAUGAUAAUAUUAGUCCGUAAUGUCCAGUUAUAUUAUACACCUGGCAACACCACCACCAUGGAUCUAAGUAAUGUAAAUAGCUAAGUUCGCAAUAGAUUGUUAUGUCGUGGAACUGUCGGAGUAAUUUAUUUUAAUUUAUCAUUGACCUCAAUUCUCAAUUAAUCAUUAUUUUCAAUUCAUAAUUUCAUUGUUGUUGUUUUUUUUAGUCCGUUAAUGUGAUCUUCAUUUGUCUUUAACGAACUUUCUCGUCAGUAUGAAAUCUCGAAAUAGAUUUGAGACUGAAGAUUGCGUUACGAAUUCCUUAUUAUUAUAAUUAUGUCAUUAACUUUAUUGUACAGACAAUAGCACAUCAGACAACAUUUUCGUUGCAAAAUAGCUUCAUUUGCAAUGAGGGUUUUCGCGAUUGAAAAAUCCGCCAGAUGGCAAUACGUAGACGCGAGGUCCAAAUGCUGCAUGAUUGGUUAUUUUUGACAUGACAUUGACAGAUAUGUCAAAAUUCACCAAUCACGCAGCAGUCAGACACCACAUCCACGUCCCGCCAUCUAGCGGAUCAUUCAUACGCGAAAACCUUAAUUAAAUACGACCCCACAGUGUUUAUGUUGAUGUGCUGUCGUUUGUAGUUUAUUGAAUUUUCUGUUUGGGUAUAUCCAAAGAGUGCACAUAGGUUAUUUCCAACGACAGAGGUGCUAGAAUCCCUCGCAAAAAUUAUAUUUUUGUGAAACUAGCAAUGUAGUCAAACUACGGUAGCAUAAUGUAGGUAGUUGUUGGCUAAUGGGUAAUUCAAUUUUUAUAUGCAUCUUUAUUUCUAUUUCGCUCUCGGUACGUCGCGGAUAAAAAUGGGUUUUGUUUAAUAUUAUAACUUCUGGUAACUAAUUUUUCGACAAAAUAUUUUUCGUUUGUAUUCCGUGACUACAUUCAAAAAGGUUUAGUUAUAAUGACGUCAUAAAAUAGCUUUUGAGGGUACCUCGAUUUAUUGUAAAUUGUGUCAUGUAACUAAAACCUAAUGGCCUGUAUAUAUUUCAAAAUACUAGUUACUAAAUACUAAAUACUAGUACAGACGAUAGCAUAUCAAGCUAAAUACGUUCAACUAAAAUCUAACAUAGCUAGUCGUACAAAGCCAGUCGAGUUAACUGCGCACCUGGCAGCCGUGACGUCACUUCGAACUUCAACGCAGACAGGGUGAGUGGAAGAAAGUCGCAUUCCAGCGAGGUGCGCAGUUGGUUUGUACGGAUUGUAAUUUUACCACCUAAAAUGAAAAAAAAGGUUGGACUUAACAACAAUAAUAAUAAGCUCGCCUUUUGUACCUCGUACUUUUAUGUUUUGUGCAAUAAAGAUUUUAAAUAAAUAAAUAAAUGUGUAGUCUGAUUUGCUGUCGUCUGUACUUCACAUUAAUAUCUUCCACAAAAUGUAAUUUUGGUAUUUUUGUAUACCUAUGCUAACAUGCCACAGUAAAUUAAGUCUAUAAGUCAUAAUAUUAUUAGUUUUGGUCAGAUACUUUCAAUUAUGUAAAAUAUAUUUAUUUAUAAAUCGAAAAUUAUGAAUCUAUAUUAAAAAAAUGUAUUUAAAAAAUUGGUAUAAUAAUUUUGAAAAUUGCUCUAAACCUUCAACUCAUUGGUAAAUACUCAAGGAUGUAUGAAUUGGUUGUAGUUAUGUUACUUUUCGCCGUAAUUUAUUGUUUGUGUAUAAAUAAUCUAAUUUGUCAUAAUGAUCUAUUGUAAAUGCAACAUUAUAAAUAUGUAUAAAUGUCCCGAUAUGUAAAGUAUUAUCGUCUAGUGACGUCAUGGCUGUAAUAGGAUAACGCCUUGAAUUUAGGUUUUUUAGCCUUCUGUAACUCUUUCCGCGGUAGUGAACGGCUAUAGCAGUCAUAAAUAAAACUUCUAUAGUGUCUUGGCUACUGUCGCGGAAAGUGCUAAAAUCACAUGUAUAAUUUUUACCUUAUUAUUUUAUUUCCUUCUACAGGGUGUUUUCACUGCUCUUGAUGUAACAACAUUGGUAUUGAACAUCAAUAAAUAAUUUGAAUGAAUAGUCGAUCGUUAGAUUCAUAACUUUAUUUCAUCACCCCUUUUUAGGAAGUGAAAUAAAUUGGUAAUUAUAAAAUAAUUAUUUUUGUUUGAUUUUGGACGACUGAUAGGCUAAAAUCAAAUAAUGUAAAUGCAUUAUAUUUAUAGGAACUGGGUUUAAAACCAAAUUCCCUUUUUUGUUUAUAAAAUGUAACUUCCAUAUUUUUUGUUUUUUUGGAAUUGUAUAAUAAUUAUAAAUAUUAAUAUGCAGCUCGGCAGCUUUCUAUAAUAUUGUAAGAAGAUAAUUUAACUAAAUGAUAAUAUAUUUUGGUUAUAAUACUACAUCAGUGGCCCUACUCUGCAGAACAAUUUCAUUUUUGGGUAUACCUAACUGUCUUGCUCAGUUAUUAUGGCAAUUCAAUUCGAGUGAAGGAGAUAGGCAGAUUCGGAAGUUCAGAAAUCGUCUUGCAGCAUAGGACCUCUGUUAUUGAUAACCGUAACAAUCUCAGUAAUAUGAGAAAAAGUUAAAAAUCAUAUAUUUUUUACAAUAAUAAUAAUGUAGAGGCUCAAACAUUUUUUUGGUUAGUGUACUUUCUUUUUGAUUUAUUUAUUUACACAUUCACUUGUGGUAAUACUGCCGAAAAUUUUCACAAUACUAAGUCAUGAUGCUUUAUUUUGUUCAUGUAAUAACAUCAAUUUAUAUACUUUAUUCAUAUAGUGCUGCUGAAUACCAUUUUCGCGACGAAAUCGAAGCUUUUGCUUUCACAUGACAUUAUCAAAUCUCUUGAAACAAUGUAUUGCGUUAUUAUUGAACGAAAUGUCAACAUUUUUCAUGUUAAUUAAAAAAUAAUGAUUAUUGCGGA